GAAUAUAGCUCAGUUGGUAGAGUGCUUGCCUCACAUGUAAAAGGGCCUGCGUUCAAUCUCCGGCAACA
rnacentral:tRNA from 1 species